rnacentral:lncRNA from 1 species
AUCAAUCAAAAAUAAUAGAUCCAUUAUCAUUCACCUUAAUGAGAGGCUAUGAUCUAGUUAUCCCCAUAACUAGCUUAUUUUAUGGACCUAAUAAUUUAAAAGAUUUGAUUAAAUCUUUUAAAAGAUAUCAAUCAACCAAGAAGUCAUAAAUUCUCUCACUGACUUCACCAAGUCAUAUAAAGGACUAGAGACUAGCUGGUCCAAUCGAUACAUCGUAAAUCCUUCCACUGACUUCAUCAAGUCAUAAGAAGGAUGAGAGAUAAGUCAGUGCAAUCGAC